UUAGGGUCUCUCUGGCCCGACCUCCCAACCCUUUGUCUACUUGACCAUCGUUGCUUCGGCGAGCCCGUCCUCACGGACCGCCGGAGGGAUCUUUACUGGCCCUCUGGUCCGCGCUCGUCGGUAGCCCAACCUUUAAAAUCUUUAACUAAACGUGCCUUAAUCUAAGUACAAUUAUUAAAUAAAAGCAAAACUUUCAACAACGGAUCUCUUGGUUCUGGCAUCGAUGAAGAACGCAGCGAAAUGCGAUAAGUAAUGCGAAUUGCAGAAUUCCAGUGAGUCAUCGAAUCUUUGAACGCACAUUGCGCCCUUUGGUAUUCCGAAGGGCAUGCCUGUUCGAGCGUCAUUAUCACCCCUCAAGCCCUCGGCUUGGUGUUGGACGGUUUGGUGGAGGCCCCCUCGGGGGCUCCUGCCCCUCCCAAAGACAAUGACGGCGGCCUCGUUGGACCCCCGGUACACUGAGUUCUUCACGGGACACGUAUCGGACACAUGGGUUUACGGGACACGGUCUGCCUCCCCUCAGGGAGAAUCUUUCUAAGGUUGACCUCGGAUCAGGUAGGGAUACCCGCUGAACUUAAGCAUAUCAUAAGCAGGGGAA
rnacentral:rRNA from 1 species